UGGACACUGACUAACACCACCUGGGUUACUUCUGGUUCAGGGCUGAACACGGUCCACUGGGCGAUGGUCAGUGACUCUGGCCUCGAGAUCCAAUCACCCAGUGAGAGCGGCAAGGGAACUCAGUCCCAGGCUUCCUCCAUUGUGCUCUUUGUGAAGCCAUCCAUAGCGUCAACGAGUCAUGGAGAGGGUAUGCUCUGAAGUCCGUCCCAGCAUACCCAUCCCGAGCAUCAAGAGGAAGGCAGACGAAUACUUAAAACCCACCCUGGGCUCUAAAAACGUCCUGAGCUUUUUACUCGGUAGGCAGUUAGGGAGCCACAGAAAUGAUCUGGAUCUGUCCAAGUGGCUGUGGAUGUUGACACGAGCUGCACCAGGGUGGAGGUGGCCCUUGCCAAAAAAUCACAUAACCUAUGUGCUCAUGCCUCCGUGCAAUUUUGGAAAAUGCAAAAAACCAGUUUAGAAUAACAAUAGCCUUGCUUCAGCUGUUCAAAUAAAAGCUGCAUUUUCA